CCUACGGGGGGCAGCAGUAAGGAAUAUUGGACAAUGGGCGCAAGCCUGAUCCAGCCAUGCCGCGUGCAGGAUGACGGCCCUAUGGGUUGUAAACUGCUUUUAUACGGGAAAAAACCCCUCUACGUGUAGAGGGCUGAUGGUACCGUAAGAAUAAGGAUCGGCUAACUCCGUGCCAGCAGCCGCGGUAAUACGGAGGAUCCCGGAUUUAUCCGGAUUUAUGGGGUUGAAAGCGUAUGUGUACGGAAGUGGUGAAAUCCUGCAGCUUAACUGUAGAACUGCCAUUGAUACUGCAAGUCUUGAGUACAUAUGAUGUGGGCGGAAUGUGUAGUGUAGCGGUGAAAUGCUUAGAUAUUACACAGAACACCAAUUGCGAAGGCAGCUCACAAAACUGUAACUGACGCUGAGGCACGAAAGCGUGGGGAGUGAACAGGAUUAGAUACCCGGGUAGUC
rnacentral:rRNA from 1 species